rnacentral:rRNA from 1 species
UGAAUACGAGACGCUAAGGCGUCGAAGUAGUGUAUGUCAUACUUCCAAGAAAAGCUUGCACUGUCAUAGAUAAAAAACGCCUGUACCAUAACCGACACAGGUGGGUAGGUAGAGUAUACUAAGGGGCGCGAGAUAACUCUCUCUAAGGAACUCGGCAAAAUAACUCCGUAACUUCGGGAGAAGGAGUGCCUUAUUCGUAAGGUUGCAAUAACAAGAUCCAAGCAACUGUUUAUCAAAAACACAGGUCUCCGCUAAGUCGUAAGACGAUGUAUGGGGGCUGACGCCUGCCCAGUGCCAGAAGGUUAAAGAAGUUGGUUAGCAAUUGCGAAGCUGAUAACUGAAGCCCUGGUGAACGGCGGCCGUAACGAUAACGGUCCUAAGGUAGCGAAAUUCCUUGUCGGGUAAGUUCCGACCCGCACGAAAGGCGUAAUGAUUUGGAUACUGUCUCGGAGAGGGGCUCGGUGAAAUAGACUUGUCUGUGAAGAUGCGGACUACCUGCACCAGGACAGAAAGACCCUAUGAAGCUUUACUGUAACUUGAAAUUGAAAUUGGACUUUAUUCGCGCAGUAUAGGUGGGAGGCGUUGAUUAUAAUCUUGUGGGAUUAUUGGAGCCAUCAGUGAGAUACCACUCUUGUAAUGUUAGAUUUCUAACUUUGAAUCAUUAUCUGGUCAAAGAACAGUUUCAGGCGGGCAGUUUGACUGGGGCGGUCGCCUCCUAAACGGUAACGGAGGCGUACAAAGGUUUCCUCUGAACGGUUAGAAAUCGUAUCUAGAGUGUAAAGGCAUAAGGAAGCUUGACUGUGAGACCUACAAGUCGAGCAGGGACGAAAGUCGGUCUUAGUGAUCUGACGGUACUGAGUGGAAAGGCCGUCACUCAACGGAUAAAAGUUACUCUAAGGAUAACAGGCUGAUCUCCCCCAAGAGUUCACAUCGACGGGGAGGUUAGGCACCUCGAUGUCGGCUCAUCGCAUCCUGGGGCGGUAGUACGUCCCAAGGGUUGGGCUGUUCGCCCAUGAAAGCGGUACGCGAGCUGGGUUCAGAACGUCGUGAGACAGUUCGGUCCAUAUCCGGUGUAGGCGUUAGAAUAUUGAGAGGAGCCUUCUUUAGUACGAGAGGACCGAGAAGGACAUACCUCUGGUGUACCAGUUAUCGUGCCAACGGUAAACGCUGGGUAGCUAUGUAUGGAGUGGAUAACCGCUGAAAGCAUCUAAGUGGGAAGCCCACCUCAAGAUAAGUAUUCUCAUC